CUGUAGCUCAGCUGGAUAGAGCGUUAGAUUGCGGUUCUAAAGGCCGGAGGUUCGAAUCCUCUCAG
rnacentral:tRNA from 1 species